UACGUAGGGUGCAAGCGUUGUCCGGAAUUAUUGGGCGUAAAGAGCUCGUAGGCGGUCUGUCGCGUCGGCUGUGAAAACCCGAGGCUCAACCUCGGGCCUGCAGUCGAUACGGGCAAACUAGAGUACUGCAGGGGAGACUGGAAUUCCUGGUGUAGCGGUGAAAUGCGCAGAUAUCAGGAGGAACACCGGUGGCGAAGGCGGGUCUCUGGGCAGUAACUGACGCUGAGGCGCGAAAGCGUGGGGAGCAAACAGG
rnacentral:rRNA from 1 species